rnacentral:rRNA from 1 species
CAGCCGUAAACUAUGCUCGCUAGGUGUCAGGCAUGGCGCGACCGUGUCUGGUGCCGCAGGGAAGCCGUGAAGCGAGCCACCUGGGAAGUACGGCCGCAAGGCUGAACUUAAAGGAAUUGGCGGGGGAGCACAACAACGGGUGGAGCCUGCGGUUUAAUUGGACUCAACGCCGGACAACUCACCGGGGACGACAGCAAUAUGUAGGCCAGGCUGAAGACCUUGCCUGAAUCGCUGAGAGGAGGUGCAUGGCGUAGACGUGU